GAUGAACGCUGGCGGCGUGCCUAAUACAUGCAAGUCGAGCGAACGGACGAGAAGCUUGCUUCUCUGAUGUUAGCGGCGGACGGGUGAGUAACACGUGGAUAACCUACCUAUAAGACUGGGAUAACUUCGGGAAACCGGAGCUAAUACCGGAUAAUAUUUUGAACCGCAUGGUUCAAAAGUGAAAGACGGUCUUGCUGUCACUUAUAGAUGGAUCCGCGCUGCAUUAGCUAGUUGGUAUGGUAACGGCUUACCAAGGCAACGAUGCAUAGCCGACCUGAGAGGGUGAUCGCCCACACUGGAACUGAGACACGGUCCAGACUCCUACGGGAGGCAGCAGUAGGGAAUCUUCCGCAAUGGGCGAAAGCCUGACGGAGCAACGCCGCGUGAGUGAUGAAGGUCUUCGGAUCGUAAAACUCUGUUAUUAGGGAAGAACAUAUGUGUAAGUAACUGUGCACAUCUUGACGGUACCUAAUCAGAAAGCCACGGCUAACUACGUG
rnacentral:rRNA from 1 species